rnacentral:lncRNA from 1 species
GGCAGCUGUUGAACGGAAUUCUUGGAAUCCUAUGAUGCUUAUGACCUAAUUUUACAUUAAAAUGAAAUUGGAAGAAUGGGGACCAUGUGUGAUUUUCUUGUUUGUUCAAAUAGCUGUACUUUUAUGGAAGCGUUCUACUUUUGGAAGAAGGGCAAACCAUGGUUCCGUGCUCUUAUCAGGAAGUGGAGACCUGGGGAUGUUUGAGGAAGGAGGAUGGGGAGGCUGUGUCCACCACCUGGGCAGAAGAAUGAAAGAUGCACAUGUGAUUCAAUUCGUUUCUUUCCAGAAUGGGGGAUAGUAGAGUUUUUGUGGACUCUCCUUUACGGUUUCAAGAGGGUAAGAGCAGAAUUAGAAGCUGAA